CCCAACCCAUGCACACACACCCAUGUUGGAUGCCAUCUCUCUCAUCCUCCUCGAUCCCCUUUCUCCACCCCACGCCGCCACCAGAUUCUGGCGAUCCCCACCGUUCCCCACCGCCCAGAUCUCCUCCCCGAGGUCACCUCUCACCGCUCACCAUCUCCACCGACCGAUUCCUCUCCUCGCCCAGGAGAGCCACGCCUAGGCACUGGUGGUGGUGCACCGCGAGGAGGCCCCAGCGGCAUCGAGCUGCUGCUGCUGCGGGCAUAGUGACGUGCUGGGGAGGAGCUACGUCGGGAUGCUGCUCCUGCGCCGAGCUACUGCUGCUGCGGGCACGACAACGAGCCGGGGAGUAGCUGCUGCUGCGGGCACGGCGUCUCUCCUUUCCCCAAAUCCCCAUCUGGCGCAUCCCUCUCCAGCCUCAAGCCGUUGCCCUGAGCUCCCCUACAGGCCGGCGACACCACUCUGAUUAGGAGUCACGCAUGUGGCCGGCAUAGCAUUCUGGUCACCAACUGCCCUCUAGAUAAGCGGAGUGGGAGCUUGCAGCAGCAUCUUUGACCCCUUCCCAAUGAGCUGUAGGUCGUAGACGAGGUCCCGGCCGAGGUAUCCCUCCUCUCAUCCCUUCCCCUUUCUACCACCUAAGGAGUGAUUAUAGUGUAUGCUGCACAGAAGUUUCCAAAGUUCAUGCUUAGCUGAUAUCUUUUGUUAACUGAAUAGUUUGCUGUGAUGAAUCAUUAGGAUAGUAUAGCAAGGCGGCUCUUAAAAAAGGUCCCUUCUUUGAUUAUAAAUCCUAAACAGAUCAUAAAUUAUGAGCAAAGAACCUUCCAUGAUCCCCAUCACAGAGUUUUGUUUUUGUUCCCUUGCAUUGAUAUGCAAAAUAUAUGCAUCGCUAACAAUUUUGCGUUAAGUUAAUUGUUUGUUGUGAUGAAUCAUAAGGACGAUAUCCGAGUACGCUGGCUCUUGAAAAAGGCCUCCUUCCUUGAUUAUAGUAAUUCCUAAACUGGUCAUAUAGUCUGGGCAACCUAUACAAAUCUGAAUUUAUGUUUUGGAAAACCAUGUUUCCUGUUUAAAUUCUACUAGUCAUUGCUCUAUGCUUUAAUAUUGGGUAGUAGGACAUGAUCAUGCUCCUAUGGUUGUUAUAUUUGAUAAGACUUGAACAUGCUUAUUUUAGUUUAGAUAUCCAUCUAUGCUACCGUUCUGUCCAUUUGGAUGUUAUGCACUUACAAUUAUACAUUAUGUAAAUCCAUAUUUCAGUUGCAAUGUAUAGCUUGAUUCACACUUGUAGCAGCCAUGCAAGAUAAAAGAAAAUAAAUCUAGAUUCUUACCCUUUCCCUUGAUAUAUUCUCCUUGUUGAACAAACAAACAGUUUUCGAUGAACUGACAUUUCACCGUUCUGCUGGUUGGAUGCUUGUUGCCUAUAUUUAGAAUAAGUGUAAGUGCUUGUAUCUUGCUACUAUGAAAGUGGCGAUGUUUUUAAUGAAGUGAUGCAGGCUGCAGUGGAGUGCAACAUGUAUUCAUUGCAAUAUUUUCAUAUUUGUGGAGAUUGGUUAGUAUUUUGUGGUUGAUGGCUGUAGCUGGCUUUUCCUCCUAAAAUUUACAUGUGGUGGGAACAGAGUACAUGUGCCAUAAAAUUCACUUUUUCUCCUAACAACUUAUACUUAGCACUUUGAUCUUUUGUGGUUGAUGGCUGUAGCUGGCUUUUCCUCCUAAAAUUUACAUGGAAGUAAAAGAGAUGGCCAUUUAAUUAGGCUAGGCUCACAAGUAGCUGGAUUUUUUGUGUGUGAAGAUGCAUCAGUGAUUUUUUUAGCAGUUUAUAAUGGUACUAGCCCCCUGUGCUUGUGGGUGCAGUGCCCUAAUUGUAGAAAAAUACGAGGUUCAAGUGUGGUGCUGGUUCUCUCCUUUGGCUCUUUGGUAUUGGUUCUCUCCUUUGGCUCCUUGUAAUAUGUGUUGGAUAUGUGUUCAUGGAUAUGUGUUGGAUAUAUAUGUGUUCAUGACUAUUGGUAACAUGUGUUGGAUAUGUGUUCAUGGCUA